AUUGAACGCUGGCGGCAUGCCUUACACAUGCAAGUCGAACGGCAGCGGACCUUCGGGUGCCGGCGAGUGGCGAACGGGUGAGUAAUAUAUCGGAACGUACCUUUCAGUGGGGGAUAACGUAGCGAAAGUUACGCUAAUACCGCAUAUUCUGUGAGCAGGGAAGCAGGGGGAUCGCAAGACCUUGCGCUGAUUGAGCGGCCGAUAUCAGAUUAGCUAGUUGGUGAGGUAAAGGCUCACCAAGGCGACGAUCUGUAGCGGGUCUGAGAGGAUGAUCCGCCACACUGGAACUGAGACACGGUCCAGACUCCUACGGGAGGCAGCAGUGGGGAAUUUUGGACAAUGGGCGCAAGCCUGAUCCAGCCAUGCCGCGUGAGUGAAGAAGGCCUU
rnacentral:rRNA from 1 species